rnacentral:rRNA from 1 species
GACGAACGCUGGCGACGUGCUUAACACAUGCAAGUCGAACGGAGUGGCGAACGGGAGUAACACGUGGGUGAUCUGCCUUGCACUUCGGGAUAAGCUUGGGAAACUGGGUCUAAUACCGGAUAGUGCAAGAUGAGCUCGCAGCCUCUCAGCUUGUUGGUGGGGUAAUGGACUACCAAGGCGUCGACGGGUAGCCGGCCUGAGAGGGUGUACGGCCACAUUGGGACUGAGAUACGGCCCAGACUACUACGGGAGGCAGCAGUGGGGAAUAUUGCACAAUGGGCGGAAGCGUGAUGCAGCGACGCCGCGUGGGGGAUGAAGGCCAUCGGGUGGUAAACUCCUUUCGACAGGGACGCGGUACCGGUAUAAGAAGCACCGUCUAACUACGUUCCAGCAGCCGCGGUAAUUC